GCUGCAGAGGCACGCUGACUACGACGACCGGAUUAAUUUAGCGGGAUUCGAUUGUUCGAGGUCAAGAAGCUGUUGCGAUUUGCUCCGAGGACGAUGAAGACACGACCACGACAGGAGACACCGAACCUGUAUUGUACUUCGCGACACGCCUACUUGGGUCUGAUAAACGAAUUCAAGGCAGAACGGAGUAUUCAUGCCACCUCCCCUUCCGAUUUUACUCUUUAUGUAUACGACUUGAUUGGCUUGACUAAGCGCUACUUCAUUUUAUUAUUCCCAUUAACACUUUGACGGUCGCGCAUUUCGUAGAAUAUUAAUUUUUCUGACUUUAUGUUUCUUAAUACCUACUUAUGUCUAUUAGGAAGUUAUCAGGAAUUAUGCUUGACGGUUCUGUUUAACGUAAGCAGUAAAAUUAAUAGAUUGUAGAGUUAAAUUGUAAUUAGUAUUGGAAAGAGUACACAAAGGUAAGGAGAGAAUGGUUGCUGAAGGGUUAAUUAAGACACUCAUAUUUGCAAUUUUAUCAACGAUUUCAUCCCUUAUGUACUAACUUAAAUAUUGUGCCUAUUUCAUUAUAGUAAUUCAAUAAUAAUAAACAAUUUAUUGAAUCUA